rnacentral:rRNA from 1 species
CAGCAGCCGCGGUAAUACGAAGGGGGCUAGCGUUGUUCGGAAUUACUGGGCGUAAAGCGUGCGUAGGCGGCUUCUUAAGUCGGAUGUGAAAUCCCUGAGCUUAACUUAGGAAUUGCAUUCGAUACUGGGAAGCUAGAGUAUGGGAGAGGAUGGUAGAAUUCCAGGUGUAGCGGUGAAAUGCGUAGAGAUCUGGAGGAAUACCGAUGGCGAAGGCAGCCAUCUGGCCUAAUACUGACGCUGAGGUACGAAAGCAUGGGGAGCAAACAGGAUUAGAUACCCGCGUAGUCCCUGUCUCUUAUAC